GUAUGUUGUAAGUUGUAGAGCAGUAAAACUAUGUGGCAUUUACCAGAAUCUAUGGGUAAAUUACCAAAUGUAAUACAUUCAUAAAAUGUGUGUAGUAAUUACUGUCUAAUAGGCAAUUACAUUACAUUUUAGUAACUUAGCAGCUGCUCUUAUCCAGAGUGACCUACCAUACAAUUUCAUUCUGGUCCCCUGUGGGAAUCAAACCCACAACCCUGGCAUUACAAGUGCCAUGACUGUAGCUACUGGGGACCAUCACGGCAAUCCUGUGUUAAAAUAGGACUGACCAAAUACUUAUGUAUUCAGUAUUGGCAACAUUUGAUCACUUAAUGGGCAAUGUUUCACCUCACGAAUAACAAAACUACAUUUGUAUCAGUGUUGUCAACAAUUGUGCAUGUACAGCCUCUGUUAGUACAGGGUCAAUGUCAUGUCAAAUGGUCUUAAUUUAUCAGAUCAGGAUUUUGUAGACGCAGCUCAACACAAAAACACUUGGACAGCAAUAGGUUUUGAUUCAUUUCUGUGUUUUCAUCCAUAACUAAAAGAGAUGCAGACGCAAAAGCGUUCAUAGGUUGGUUAUAGGGCUUUUAAUGUUUUGUACCGUAAGUCUUGGUCAUAUGGCAAUGUAUUUCUUAACAUCUUUAGAAAUACGUUUACACAAUAUUCUACUGGUCAAGGCUGUAAUAAUGCCUUUGAGUCAUACAGGUUUUCAAAGGGGCAUUGAUUGAAUAUAAGAUAUUAAAAUAAUGAACUGAGCAUGUGAAAGCAGCCAAGGACUUUGAUUCAAGAACGGAAACAUUUGCCUUUUGUCCAGUGACAAUUUUCCUUUGAAUGUUUCCUUUUUUAUUUUAAUUAAAAGGCUUGAUGUAUAAGUACAGAAUUGUAUGGGCAUUGCUAAAGCCUGUCUCACAAAGGCAAUGUUUCAAAAUGUUCGUGACUUUUGUGACUUUGCGGUCUCACAAGGUUGACACUUGUGUAUUUAAAUUUUUUUAAUUGAAUUGAACUUUUCUUUCAGUAUGUUGGGACUGUAUUGCCUUAUUGUAUGGUAAGCUUAUUUUUUUGUGAUUUUUGUAAUUUCCUUUUACCCCCUUUUUCUCCUUUCCCCGGUUUUGUAAUAUAAAAAUGUAUCUAUGGCCCUGUGUCAUCGUAACAACUCCAGUAUCUUCCUAGGCAUUCAGGUCAAGCCUUGCUGCUCUUCCAACCAGGAAGUCACAUGGGUCACCAUUUCUGAGGGCAUGCAUUACCUUACUGAAUAAAGCUCCAAAAGGCUUUGCCCAGAUACCAACUUACUUUGAUGCCUCAUCAGGCCAAGAGAGCCUCCAAGAUGUUUGAAGAGCCUGCCUUUGUAAUCAUGUUCUAUAGUUCUCUUGAUCUGACAAAACAAUUGGUGAGAAAAAAG
ensembl:lncRNA